UACAAAGCAAAGCAGUCAUCACAAUGGGCCCAGUUCAGUUCUUAUGGGCCGAAUUUGGACACAAAUACAGGCCCGACCAUAAAAGCCCAUGAGACCAUAUGCUGAAUAGUGGGGAAUGAACGAGAUGGAACUCCUUGAUUCUAGCGUGUUCACUUCGUGGGAAUAGAUACAGAUGGUGUAAGCAUAUGAAUAUCUAAAGGGUAAGAGUCGAGAAUUCUUGGAGAUAAAUAUUCCCAACCAAAAGAAAGAUAGAAAGAGGACAAAAAGAGACAUUCCGAGGUAGAUUGGAUCGGGCGGACAAGCUCGGUCGCGUGUCAUCAUUUCGCUCACUUUUCUAAAUGAACCAGGUACCUUCUAGUACGUUGAGUUUAUGAUGAUAAUCCUAUUACCUAUUACUGCUAAACUAACUCUUCUUUCUACUCUCCUCAGGCCUCGAGUAUCAUUUUCACUUUGACGAUUACGAUGCGCUCAUUUCUUAUGCGCAUCUUAUGCUUUCAUAUCAACCGACAAGUGCUCGCUUAGGAUACCACACAGACGGCAUAAUCCGAAUUUAAGACCGAGGCGGAUGGCAUUUGGUUCCAACCCCUUGAGAGCAAAUACUGGUGUAAAUAUGAGAAGGGAUGAGGAAAGAAUUUAUGCUGCCAAAAUCUAUAAAUAGCAAACGCAUGAAAUCUGCAGGAAUCAUUACCUUCAAAAGAAGCCGAGAGAGAGAGAUCGGAAAACAAAAUAGACUUGUUGCCUUUAUUGGGUCAAAACAGAACACUCUGUUUUCUCUGUCUAUAUUCCAAUCCCCUCCUUGGAAGUUCCCAACACUCUCAUUCUGAGUCAUUUGCAUCCCCUGGAUUCCCCAUGAGCCCAGAUAAGAAUUUCUCGUCGUCACAUACGACGAUCGUAGUAUUCGCUCUCCAUUCUCAGAUCAAAGAACUGGUCAGUGCCCAAAAUUUCAUUGCACACGACUCCGCGUUUGAGUUGAGAAAGCUCGGGCAUUUCAGAGGUCCAACAUCAGCAAGAUAGCAAGUUUCUUCCGGGUGAUUGAGCUCUGCAUCGUUCUGGCACUGAUCUUGAGGCUUUCAACUCAAGUUACAGCUACUGUUAAGAACUCUGGUGAGUAUUUCAGGGGAUUGAAGGUCGUGCUCGUGAGUCCUAUCUUUGUGUUUGUGCUCGGGAACAUGAUAGUUGUCAUUCUUUUGGCAAAACCGAGGAAACUUUUGGCUCAUGAUUCUGCCAUGAAGAUGGAUCGGUUCUACGAGGAAUGCGCAGAGAAAUCUCGAAUAGGACAAAAUCAAGAAGCGGAUGCUCACAGAAGGAACGAGACUUACAGGAAAAUCCGAUCCGAAAAAUUCAGUCAAAAGAAGGAUCAGAAACUAACCCGUGCACUGCAUCAAUCGAAGUCCGAGAAAUGCAUGAAAAGUUUUGAUCCUGGUGAGAAAUCAGAGAGAGCUGCAUUUUGUGAGGAUGCCAUGAGCAACGAAGAGUUUCGCAGGACGAUUGAGGAAUUCAUUGCUCGGCAGCAGAAGUUUCGAAUGGAAGAGGAGCAUAUUGCAAACUGAAAUCUUACAAUAAAUCGAUCACGAAAUACUGUAUGAUGUUUCUAGUUACACAAGUAUCAUAACUAUACCAUCAUAUGAACGUCAUGCAUUAAAAACCAUCAUUAGGUUCCAGUACCGUCAGCAUCUUUGCGUAUGUACAUUUUCUGCUUUGCAAGGGAAAGAAUAAUUUGCCCGACAAAACCGAGCAGCAAGUUCCGAUACCGAAACUUAUCAGGUAGAUGAUGCGAUCGGAUAAGGUGAUCAGAAGUUUUGAGGAAAGAUUAGAUGGAGGGGAAUUUUCUGCAAGGUGCUGUUAUAUAUUCUUUCCAUCUUUCCAGGAGGAAAGAACAUAACUUAAGUCAGGGAAGAAUAUGUGCCCAAUCCACCUCUAUUAUGUAUAUGCCUCGACACUCGGCCACAAAAGAAAAGUUCAGAAAAAAAAUGAUUUUCUUUUCCUCAUAGGUCUUCUUUUCAUUUUCAGUUGAUGUUCUAUAUGGGCAUUGUACCGCAAUGUCUCACGUUCGGUCGUCAACCCAUCAACAUAUAGCUCGACGACAGUUUUCUUUUCAUUGGCAUGAGGGCAAGUAGGUUGAGCUUUAAACACCAUCACAAAGCAUCAAAGUAUGCAUAAAAAAUUCCAUGGUGUUACUCUUAACACUGAUUUUCUUCCAACUUUUCCUUUCGCAUUGUUGUACAUCCAAUCAUCCAA